UACGUAGGGUGCGAGCGUUAUUCGGAAUUACUGGGCGUAAAGCGUGCGUAGGUGGUUCGUUGUGUCUGUGGUGAAAGCCCCGGGCUUAACCUGGGAAUGGCCAUGGAUACUGGCGAGCUGGAGUCUGGCAGAGGGGGGUGGAAUUCCGCGUGUAGCAGUGAAAUGCGUAGAGAUGCGGAGGAACACCGAUGGCGAAGGCAGCCCCCUGGGCUAAGACUGACGCUGAGGCACGAAAGCGUGGGGAGCAAACAGG
rnacentral:rRNA from 1 species